rnacentral:rRNA from 1 species
AAACAUCGCCUCUUGCAAACUUAACAAAUAAGAGGUCCCGCCUGCCCUGUGACUAUUAGUUUAACGGCCGCGGUAUUUUGACCGUGCGAAGGUAGCGCAAUCACUUGUCUUUUAAAUGAAGACCUGUAUGAAUGGCAUAACGAGGGCUUAACUGUCUCCUUUUUCCAGUCAAUGAAGUUGAUCUUCCCGUGCAGAAGCGGGAAUACAAACAUAAGACGAGAAGACCCUAUGAAGCUUUAGACACCAAGGCAGAUCAUGUUAAUAACCCUAAAUAAAGGCUUAAACCAAAUGAAACCUGCCCGAAUGUCUUUGGUUGGGGCGACCGCGGGGCAUUGAAAAACCCCCACGUGGAAUGGGAGCACCCCUCCUACAACUAAGAGCUACAGCUCUAGUAAACAGAAAUUCUGACCAACAAGAUCCGGCAAUGCCGAUCAACGGACCGAGUUACCCUAGGGAUAACAGCGCAAUCCUCUUUUAGAGCCCAUAUCGACAAGGGGGUUUACGACCUCGAUGUUGGAUCAGGACAUCCUAAUGGUGCAGCCGCUAUUAAGGGUUCGUUUGUUCAACGAUUAAAGUCCUACGUGAUCUG